AAAGUCGUAACAAGGUUUCCGUAGGUGAACCUGCGGAAGGAUCAUUAUUGAAUAAACUUGGAUUUGGUUGUUGCUGGCUUUUAGGAGCAUGUGCACAUCAAUUCCAUUUCUUCAACCUCCUGUGCACCUUUUGUAGGCCUGAAUACCUCUCGAGGAAGCUUUUCUCGGUCUGAGAGUUUGCUGUGCGAAAGCCCAGCUUUUCUUGGGUUUCUGGCCUAUGUUUUAUAUACACCCCAAAUAAUGUAAAUAGAAUGUCACAAUAGGCUUUGUGCCUUUAAAAACAAAUACAACUUUCAACAACGGAUCUCUUGGCUCUC
rnacentral:misc_RNA from 1 species